rnacentral:rRNA from 1 species
UAGGGAAUCUUCGGCAAUGGACGAAAGUCUGACCGAGCAACGCCGCGUGAGUGAAGAAGGUUUUCGGAUCGUAAAACUCUGUUGUUAGAGAAGAACAAGGACGUUAGUAACUGAACGUCCCCUGACGGUAUCUAACCAGAAAGCUACGGCUAACUACGUGCCAGCAGCCGCGGUAAUACGUAGGUGGCAAGCGUUGUCCGGAUUUAUUGGGCGUAAAGCGAGCGCAGGCGGUUUCUUAAGUCUGAUGUGAAAGCCCCCGGCUCAACCGGGGAGGGUCAUUGGAGACUGGGAGACUUGAGUGCAGAAGAGGAGAGUGGAAUUCCAUGUGUAGCGGUGAAAUGCGUAGAUAUAUGGAGGAACACCAGUGGCGAAGGCGGCUCUCUGGUCUGUAACUGACGCUGAGGCUCGAAAGCGUGGGGAGCAAACAGG